rnacentral:rRNA from 1 species
ACAUGCCUACAACAUAGCUCUAAUGCACUAGAUCCCAUUAAAACUCCCCAGUUAAGCAUGCUCAAGAUAGAGUAGUACUAGGAUGGGUGACUGCUUGAGAAGUCAUAAUGUUUUACAUGCC